UCCGGUUGAUCCUGCCGGACCCUACUGCUAUCGGGGUGGGACUAAGACAUGCGAGUUGAGCGUCUCUAAGCUAUGGUAGAGACGCGGCGUACGGCUCAGUAACAUGUGGCUAACCUACCCUUAGGACGGGGACAACCCCGGGAAACUGGGGCUAAUACCCGAUAGGCGGAAAAGCCUGGAAUGGCCUUCCACCUAAAGGGCCUUAGGAACAUGCUCCUAAGGCUGCCUAAGGAUGAGACUGCGGCCGAUCAGGUUGUUGGUGGGGUAACGGCCUACCAAGCCUAUAACCGGUACGGGCCCUGAGAGGGGGAGCCCGGAGAUGGGAACUGAGACAAGGUCCCAGACCCUACGGGGUGCAGCAGUUGCGAAACCUCUACAAUGCACGAAAGUGUGAUAGGGUUAUCCCGAGUGCCGUCCGAUGAGGAUGGCUUUUCCUCGGUGUAAGGAGCCGGGGGAAUAAAGGGGGGGCAAGACUGGUGUCAGCCGCCGCGGUAACACC
rnacentral:rRNA from 1 species